CGCUGGCGGCGUGCCUAAUACAUGCAAGUCGAACGGUCUUUCUAUGGAAGCUUGCUUCCACUGAGAAGAUAGUGGCGAACGGGUGAGUAACACGUGGGUAACCUGCCCAUAAGAGGGGGAUAACAUCCGGAACGGGUGCUAAUACCGCAUAGUUUUCUUGAUCGCAUGAUCGGGAAAGGAAAGACGGCCUUUGUGCUGUCGCUUAUGGAUGGACCCGCGGACGUAUUAGUUAGUUGGUGAGGUAAUGGCUCACCAAGACGAUGAUACGUAGCCGACCUGAGAGGGUGAUCGGCCACAUUGGGACUGAGACACGGCCCAAACUCCUACGGGAGGCAGCAGUAGGGAAUCUUCCGCAAUGGACGAAAGUCUGACGGAGCAACGCCGCGUGAGUGAAGAAAGGUUUUCGGAUCGUAAAACUCUGUUGUCAGAGAAGAACAAGUUGGAGAGUAACUGCUCCAGCCUUGACGGUAUCUGACCAGAAAGCCACGGCUAACUACGUGCCAGCCGCCGC
rnacentral:rRNA from 1 species